CCCUUAGACAUUCUGGGCCGCACGCGCGCUACACUGACGGAGCCAGCGAGUAUAAACCUUGGCCGAGAGGUCUGGGAAAUCUUGUGAAACUCCGUCGUGCUGGGGAUAGAGCAUUGUAAUUAUUGCUCUUCAACGAGGAAUUCCUAGUAAGCGCAAGUCAUCAGCUUGCGUUGAUUACGUCCCUGCCCUUUGUACACACCGCCCGUCGCUACUACCGAUUGAAUGGCUUAGUGAGGCUUCCGGAUUGGUUUAGAGAAGGGGGCAACUCCAUCUUGGAACCGAGAAGCUAGUCAAACUUGGUCAUUUAGAGGAAGUAAAAGUCGUAACA
rnacentral:rRNA from 1 species